rnacentral:rRNA from 1 species
AUUGAACGCUAGCGGGAUGCUUUACACAUGCAAGUCGAACGGCAGCGCGGACUUCGGUCUGGCGGCGAGUGGCGAACGGGUGAGUAAUGUAUCGGAACGUGCCCAGUAGCGGGGGAUAACUACGCGAAAGCGUAGCUAAUACCGCAUACGCCCUACGGGGGAAAGCAGGGGAUCGUAAGACCUUGCACUAUUGGAGCGGCCGAUAUCGGAUUAGCUAGUUGGUGAGGUAACGGCUCACCAAGGCGACGAUCCGUAGCCGGUUUGAGAGGACGACCAGCCACACUGGGACUGAGACACGGCCCAGACUCCUACGGGAGGCAGCAGUGGGGAAUUUUGGACAAUGGGGGCAACCCUGAUCCAGCCAUCCCGCGUGUGCGAUGAAGGCCUUCGGGUUGUAAAGCACUUUUGGCAGGAAAGAAACGUCGCGGGCUAAUACCCCGUGGAACUGACGGUACCUGCAGAAUAAGCACCGGCUAACUACGUG